GUACGUCCACCUUGAAUGGGUUAUUUGCAAUCGUGUAACGGUGUAUUAUGCUGUGAUUAGUCGUUGUAAACAUCAGCAGAUACACUCUUACAUGAAUGCUAGUAACUGUAUUAUCAUCAGAGACUGA
rnacentral:precursor_RNA from 14 species